AGUCAACCUAACUCGUGGAUGUGGAUAACCUCGGGAAACUGAGAAUAAACCACGAUAGAUCAUAGUGCCUGGAAUGGCUUAUGGUCCAAACAGUUUACUGCCAUGGGAUGGGACUGCGGCCUAUCAGCUUGUUGGUGAGGUAAUGGCCCACCAAGGCGAUUACAGGUACGGGCUCUGAGAGGAGAAGCCCGGAGAUGGGUACUGAGACACGGACCCAGGCCCUAUGGGGCGCAGCAGGCGAGAAACCUUAGCAAUGUGCGAAAGCACGACUGGGUCAGUCCGAGUGAUUCCUGAUAAAGGAGUCUUUUGCUUGUCCUAAAAGCACAGGUGAAUAAGGGGUGGGCAAGUCUGGUGUCAGCCGCCGCGGUAAUACCAGCACCUCGAGUGGUCAGGACGUUUAUUGGGCCUAAAGCAUCCGUAGCCGGCUUUGCAAGUCUUCGGUUAAAUCCACCUGCUCAACAGAUGGGCCGCUGGAGAUACUACAGAGCUAGGGAGUGGGAGAGGCAGACGGUAUUCAGUGGGUAGGGGUAAAAUCCUCUGAUCCAUUGAGGACCACCAGUGGCGAAGGCGGUCUGCCAGAACACGUUCGACGGUGAGGGAUGAAAGCUGGGGGAGCAAACCGGAUUAGAUACCCGGGUAGUCCCAGCUGUAAACGAUGCAAACUCGGUGAUGCAUUGGC
rnacentral:rRNA from 1 species